CAGUUUUAAGGGAAAAACAAUGAGAAAAGCCUACUCACCAACGUCACCAACUUCAGCUCCUUAGCUACCGCACCUCGGCCUACCCAGGAGAGCAGAAGCAAGCAGCUAAGGCAAAGGGAAUUGAAGGCUUGGGCAGGGUAAGGACAUCAAGAACUAAAAGGAACAGAGGACUUUUAUCUGUUAGGCUGAACCAAGCUGACCUUCAGCUACUCCUCAGACUGUAGUUACCUGCAUCCGGCUGGCUUACUCCUUCAUCCCUGUGAUAACACUACUUUCCUCACAUUCAGAACUAACUCACCUGAGAGAAGAUGUGACAGUGACUCAUGCCUGAGAAGGAGCUCUGAAGAACAGGGAUGGGGUCUGAAAUGAUCCCUCAGGAGCGCGUCUCAAUUGUUCAGGCUCUGCUAGGAGAGACAGUUGUGUCGUCGUCCAUCUUGAGAGUCAUUCCAAGGCUCUGGUCACGGGGAUAACCAGGCAAAUAUUGUCCUACCACUGUUUCACCUCUAAUACAGCCAUCCAGACUGACCAUCAUAUUGGUUCUACUGUAUUUAACAUGGAAGGGAAAGAACUCACCACUUAUAAAAAUAUUAUCCUAUCUCAUUUUGUGUAAUGUGUUGAAGAAACGUGCACAUUUUGAUGGUGCUUUUUUUUCUGGGUGAUGUGAUUGUGAGUGGUUUUACUUUCUUCUUUCUGCUCUUCUCUACUUUCCAAAUUUCUCACAAUGAACAGAUAUUUUUAUUAAAAUCAGAAUAGGAAUUUUAAAAUGUCUACUAUGAGCGGUAUGCUAUUUCUCACUUGAUUACCUGGUACUCUCAGAGUUAUAGAAGGUGGGUCUGAAAGGUCAUUGAGUUUAUAGCAUAGUUCACCUGACGAUUCCUAUUAUAGGGCCAAUUCUUAAGCUGCCGAAGAGAGAAAAACUUCUCUUUCCUGUCCCAAUUUCUGUCUUGUCUUUUGAUGUAUCUUGUAUUAAAAAGAUCCCACAACUUCCUGUAGUAUCGUGAAAAUCCCAGGAUAAUGCAAUAGCCAUUUAGAAAGUCCUCAGUCUGUCCUUAAGAAUUCCCUGAAUCACAUCAUGUCAGUGGCCCAUUAAAAAUCCUCCACUGGCUUCCCACCAUACUUAGAAUAAAAUCCCAAAUCCCUCCAUGACAUACAAGGAGCCUGCUACCUCUUCAACUUAUCUCUUCUCACUCUUCCCUUGUUCACUCUGUUCUGGUCACAUCAACCACAUCGAUCGCCCAGCAGGCCAGGAAAGGUUCCACUCCACGCACCUUGCAUUUUACAGCACCCUCUCUCCGGUACAGUCUUCUCUCACAUGUGGCUAUCUCUCACUUUACUUCUUCACACAGGCCUUCCUUGACCACCCCAGUCAAACUGGCAGCUUCCCAACAACCUCCGUCACACCAUCCUGCUUUACUUCUGCUAUGGCCCUUUUCAUACCUGUCAUUAUGUUACACAUUUAUUUGUUCGUUUAUUGUCUGUCUCCUCCAUUAGAAUGUAAACUCCGUGAGAGUGGAAGAGUUUACUGCUGGGUCCUCAUUGGAUAGAACAAGACCUGGCACAUAGUAGGGGUUUAGUGAAUAUUUGUUGAAUGAAUGAAUGAAUGAAUGAAUCCUAACUAACAAUUCCUUUAUCUAAAAAAAAAAUUUCCCAACACGUUUCACACUUUCUUAUAAUAUCUCUAAACUGGUAUUCUGUUUCUUCCAUUACCAGAAGGGUUUUUUUUUUUUUUUAAGAUUUUAUUUAUUUGAGAGAGAGAGAAUGAGAGAGAAAGAACACAUGAGAGGGGAUAGGGUCAGAGGGCGAAGCAGACUCCCUGCCAAGCAGGGAGCCCGAUGCGGGACUCGAUCCAGGGACUCCAGGAUCAUGACCUGAGCCGAAGGCAGUCGCUUAACCAACUGAGCCACCCAGGCACCCCCAGAAGGGUUUUUCUUUGGAUAAAUAAAGUCAUGUCAAUCUUUAUCUCUUGAUUCUGAGACUUUCAAAGUUUUAUGAUUUUCUAAGUCCUCUUCUUCAGUAUUUGACUGCUGACUUGAGGCUCUCUGUUAAUUUCUGUCAAGUGGGAUGUGUUUUGGGGGAAACAGAUGAAGGAGACAUAUUUUUGAAUUCCAUAUUUGAUGUGAAAAAUUAUUAUAACUUCAUUUUAUGUGAUAAUGUUUGUGCUUUAUUUUAAUAAAAAUAUUUUAAAUUA